UGGGGCGUAAGCGCGCGCAGGCGGUUUCUUAAGUCUGAUGUGAAAGCCCACGGCUCAACCGUGGAGGGUCAUUGGAAACUGGGGAACUUGAGUGCGGAAGAGAAAAGCGGAAUUCCACGUGUAGCGGUGAAAUGCGUAGAGAUGUGGAGGAACACCAGUGGCGAAGGCGGCUUUUUGGUCUGUUACUGACGCUGAGGCGCGAAAGCGUGGGGAGCAAACAGGAUUAUAUACCCUGGUAGUCC
rnacentral:rRNA from 1 species